AAAACUUUGGUUGCUCUUCUCUAGCCCAAGACAAGAAUGUGCUACCUGGCAUGCGGACAAAUGAGGUUGUGGGGAAUAGAGAGUAAGGGCAUAAUAUUUCCAACUAUAUCUCCCACUCUGAGCAUGUGAUACGAUAGGAUUAGUCCCCAAAGACACUCUCUUUGCUCCUACAUAACAUUUAUUUCUUUUUACCAUUUCUGAAAACAAUCCAUCUUCCAGCCCAAGGAGCUUUAAAUUGGAAGAAGUACAGAAAUACCUGUUUUGAGUCUCCUUUAGGUUAUUGGCUGGGUGUUGAUUAUGCCCUAAGAAUUCCACAUUAGCUUAGCCUCUAAAUGGUUUAGGAACCCCCAGCCAGGACAAGCCCAAUAUUUUGGCAAACCAUAAUUCAGUUUUCAGUAGUUUUCUCACAUCUAUAGUGGCCUUUGAAAUUUCUCACUGUCCCUUUACUUGAACCAAAAGAGGAGAAUGACACUUCUUUGAUGGGGUCAACCUGUCUUCAUGUCGUACCACCUUUGUCAUACAUCGGUUUCCUACAUAUGCAGAAUUUCCUAGUCCCCUUUCCUAUUUCAACACCAUAUUGUCUCCAUUACUGUAUAGCUGUAUAAGUUGAUAUCUGGUGAGGUAAUUUUAUGUUCAUCAAAAUUACCUUAGCUAUUCUUGACUUUGUCUUUGCUGUAAAUUCUGAGAUCACUUUUUCUGUGUUCCGUGAAAACACUGUUGUUAUUUUUAUUGGAAUUACUUUGGAUUUAUAGGUUAAUUUGAGAACAGUUUUGAAAAUUUUACUCCCUUUAUCUGUAAACAUGAAAUGUGUCUCCUUUUAUUUAGGGCUUUUUAUGUCCUUCAGUAAUGUUUUACAGUUUUCUCCCUAGUAGUCUCUUGCAUUUUUUAUUAGUUUAUGUCUAGGUAAAUUAGUUUUUCUACUAUGAAUAUGACUUUUUCGUUACAUUUUCUCAUUGAUUAUUGUGUAUAGGAAUGCUGUUGGCCUUUAUGUUGAUCCUUCCAUCUAGCAACCUUGUUGAACUCUCUUACCUAGUUCUAAUGGUUUGUCCGAGGUCUGUUGGAAGUAUAUUAGUACCAAAUAAGAAUGGCUGUUUCUUCCUUUCCAACCAUUGUACCUUUUUUUUUUUCUUGUCUUAUCCUUACUUGGCUAGGACUCCAGUACAAUAUUGGAUUAGAAGCAGUGGUAGGAUGCCAAAGAACUUAAUUACCCAGGCUCCUCAGAAAACCUCAGAAUAUAACACAGCCCUCGAAUGAACGCUAAGCAUGUUAUAGUAUAGCCCAAGUAUAAUCUUUAUUGUAUUUUUUAGGCCAGCUAAUCAUCAACUUAAAUUUCUGCUUUGUUUUUUGUAAAGUAUGUUUAUAUUCUUAGGCAGAAAAUAAGUGGCCAUUUGCUCUCAGCCACUACUUACAGUCAAAACUAAAUAAAAUAGUGGGUCACAGGGCUAUUGCAAAAUUUAGAGUAUCUGUGUGUUAUUAAGUUUCUUACUCUAUGUCACUGAUUCUCAACUGGAAGCGAUUUUGUCCCCUAGGAGAUAGUUGUCAGAGUCUAGAGCCAUUUUUGGUUGUCACAACUGGGAGAGGGUUCUUCUGGCAUCUGGUAGGUAGAGAGGUAAGGGAUGCUGCUAAACAUCCUACGGCGUACAGGCCAGCCCCCUCAACAAAGAACUGUCUGUUCCAAAAUGGCAAUAAUGCCAAGCUGCUGAAAUCCUGCUCUAUGUGAGUGACUUAUUAUAUCUCAUAAGUUGAGUAUAUUGAGAUUGAUUGUAGGAAAGAGUUGUUUGUUUUGGCAAGGGACUUUAAUUCUUCCCUGGAAGUUGAUCUUUUUUUUUUUUUUUUUUGUGGUGGGAUGGUCUUGCUCUGUCACCCAGGUUAGAAUCCACUGGUGCAAUCUCGGCUCACUGCAAUCUUCACCUCCCAGGUUCAAGCGAUUCUCCUGCCUCAGCCUCCUGAGUAGCCAGGAUUACAGGCGCCCACCACCAUGCCCAGCUAAUUUUUGUAUUUUUGGUAGAGGUGGGGUUUCACCAUCUUGACCAGACUGGUCUCAAACUCCUGACCUCAUGAUCCACCCACCUCAGCCUCCCAAAGUACUGGUAUUAUACCCAUGAGCCACUGUCUCCAGCCAGAAGUUAACCUUUCUUAAAGAAGUUUAGCCUGCUGGCCAGAGGCAAUGACUUAACAGCUUGGGAAUAUAUUCAUGGCCUGGACCAUAGUCUGUUAUUCUUCAAGUAUUUGUUGAGUUAAAAGCUACAUGUUUCAACCUAAGGUAGACUCGUGGGGGACAUUCUAAAUGAGCACAGGCCUGCAGAAAUGUUUGUCUACCUCUGUAUGGUUAUUCUAAAUCUGAAAGGAUAACCCCAAUAGCAGUAGGACAAAAUAGGCUAUCAAUACAUCAGGCUGGAUUAUUUAUUUAACUAAUCUGAGCUUUAAUUAAACCAGAGCUAUUUUUGUUAUUGGAACAGUAUUAUAUCCAUAUUAUAAAAAGUUCAAUUACAGAAAACUAUAAACAAUGCAUGUCCCGCCUGUCAAAUUCCCAUCUCCAACUGCAAUAAUAACAUUUAUCUUUGACUCAAUUCCUGUAAUCCUAGCCUAGUUUCUUUCAGUCUCAAGUUCUGAAGAUUUUUUAUUUUUCACCUCCCUCAAACCUUUGCUCAACCCAAGACGUUUACAUAUACUCUAAUAUUGUCAGAGCAAAAAGCAUAAAAAUAACAGUCCUUACUCCACAUAGACCUGUGAUGCAUUGGUCACAUUAUUUUUUAUUUGAUCAAACUAGCUUUAAAAAUGAUUAUAAGAGAGUACUAUGGACAAAAUAUGCCAACAAAUUGAAUAACCUAGAAAGUGGACAAAUUUCUAGAAGCUUGAAACCUACCAAGACUAAAUCAUAAAGAACAUCUGAAUAGACCUGUAACUAGUAAAGAUCAGUAAUCAGAAACCUCCCAGAAAAGAUCCUGAACCUGGUGGUUUCACCGGUGAAUGAUACCAAACAUUUAAAAACAAACUAAUAUCAAUCCUCAGAUUUUUCCAAAAACUAAAGCUGAGGGAACACUUCCUAAUUCAUUCUAUGAGGCUAGCAUUGUCCUGAUACCAAAGUCAGGCACAGACACUACAAGAAAACUACAGACCAAUAUUUAUUAUGAGCAGUUUAUGCAGAAAUCCUCAACAAAACACUAAUAUGUUCAGCAACAUAUUACAAAGAUUAUAUACAUGACUGAGUGGGAUUUAUUCCUGAAAUGCAAGGAUGGUUCAACAUGAAAAUCAGUGUAAUACACCAUAUUAACUGAAUGAAGACAAAAAUCUCAAUUGAUGAAGAAAAAGCAUUUGACAAAAUUCAACACCCUUUCAUGACAAAUAAUAAGCUAAUAGACUCUACCUCAACAUAAUAAAAGCCAUAUAUGGAAAACCCACAGAAAGUACACUGAAUGGUGAAAGACUGAAAGCUUUUCCUCUGAGAUCAAGAGCAAGGCAAGAAUGUACAUUUCCACCACUUCUAUCCAGCCUCGUACUGGAAGUUCUAGCCAAAAUUGGAAAGGAACAGAUAAAAUUAUCUCUGUUCACAGAUGAUAUGAUUGUGUAGAAAACCCUAAAGGUUACACACAGACUAUUAGAACAAAUAAAUGAAUCCAGCAAAGUAGCAGGAUACAAAGUCAACACAAAAAUCAGUCACAUUUCUAUAUGCUAACAGUGAGCAAUCUGAAAAUGACACAGUUCCAUUUACAAAAGCAUCAAGAAUAAAAUGGAAACUAACUUAACCAAGGAGGUGAAAGAUUUGUGCAAUGAAAACUAUAAAACAUGGCUGAAAAAAAAUUAAAGACAAAUGAAACAUAGCCCCUGCUCCUGGAUUGAAAAACAAUAUUGUUAAAAUGUGACUACUACCCAAAUCAAUAUAUAGAUUCAAUGCAAUCCCUAUUAUAGUACUUUUUUACAGAAAUAGAAAAUCCCAUUCUAAAAUUAAUAUGGAAUCUCAAGGGACCCCUAAUAACCAAAACAUCUUGAAAAAUAACAAAGCUGGAAGACUUUUUUCCUGAUUUGAAAACUUACUUAUAAAUGGAUUCAUUUAUUUGUUCUAAUAGUCUGUGUGUAACCUUUAGGGUUUUCUACACAAUCAUAUCAUCUGUGAACAGAGAUAAUUUUAUCUGUUCCUUUCCAAUUUUGGCUAGAAUAAAGCUACAGUAAUCAAAGCACUGUGGUACUAGCAUAAAAACAAACCAGCAGGAUAGAGAGCCCAGAAAUAAAACGUAUAUGGUCAAGUGAGAUUUGACAGGAUGCCAAGGUAUCCACAAGGAAAGGAAUCUUUUCAGAUGGCACUAGGGAACUGUAUAUCCACAUGCAAAAGGAUGAAGUUGGAUCCUCACCUAACACUGUAUACAAAAAUUAACUCAAAAUGAAUCAAAGACCUUAAGACCUAAGCCUGUAAGUCUUAAUGACGAUAACAUAGGUCAAAAGCUUCACACCACUGAAUUUGGCAGUGAUUUCACAGAUGUGACACUAAUGGCACAGGCAACAAAGGGAAAAACAAAUGGACUUAAUGGAAAUUUAUGAUGUGUGUCAAAAGACAAUAUAAACAGAAGGCAACCCACAGAAUGGGAGAAAGCAUAUGCAAAUUUUCUAUCUGAUAAGGGAUUAAUAUCCAGAAUGAAUCAAGAACUGAAACUCAGCAGUGUAAUUCAGAAAUGGGCAAAGGACUUGAAUACACAUUUCUCUGAAGAAGAUUGCCAAUAAAUACAUGUAAAAAAAUGCUUAAUAAAUAAGUAUGUGGUGAGGAUAUGGAGAAAUGUAAAGACCUGAUUGGAUUGUUAAAGGUAAAGCUACAAAGACAGCAAAAGGAAAUCUCUGUGAACCUGAACAGGAAAGAAAUUAAAUUCCUCAAAGCCCUUCUAUAAAUACAAAAAACAGUUUCUGUUCAGCUGACAACACAAAGUUAACAGACUGGUGACAAUUUGGAAGAAAAUUUCUGGAGUUUAUAAGAGCCAAAGAUUAAUGUCGAGAAGAUAACAGGACAUAUUUGCUAAAUAUAUUCAGUAGAAAACUGGGCUAAAGGACAUGCAUAGACAAUUUAUAAAGAGAAGUCUAAACCAUGAAAAAAAUGCUCAACCUCACUAGUAGAGAAAAGUGCAAGCUGAGAGCUGUCAUGUUUAGCUCUCAAAUUGAGGAAAAAUAGCCAGGUAAUACCGGUUGUGGUAUGGGGGAACUGGAACCCUCAUGCACUCAGGUGAGGGUAUAAAUUGGUAAGGUGCAUGCCAAAGAACAUCUGGGCGUUAUUAGGGAAAUCAUGUAUGUGUAUAGAGCACAGGAAUAAGGAUUCUGAUCCUGGAAUUGAGCUGCCUGGGUUCAAACACUGGCUCUGUCACUUAACUAGCUGCAUGACCUGGAGCAGGUGACUUAACUUGGUCUCUCAGUUUCCUCAUCAGUGAAAUAUGCAGUGUCAGAACCCUUGUCAUAGAGUUGUUGUAAGGCUAAUCUAGCUGGUAAAUCUCAAGCCCUAGAGCAGGGCUAGCACAUAGGAAACACUUGGUCAGUGUGAGGAAGGGUUAGCCUCAUUGUUACACACCCUGUAACCUCCUAGCUGCUCUUGGAAUCAGGUACUGGGAGUGAGAUUAGGAAUGAAGGGGAAAUUUUAAUUGGAACAGUUACAGAACAGUCAUAAAACUAGUCACAAGUGUCAGGUCUUUGCAUGCAGUUACCUAUGAAUUAAGUCGCAGUGAACUAAGGAGUGUCUUCACCUGUAAACCGAAUAUAGAAAUAAACUAGGCAUAUUCCUUAUGGACAAACUGGCAAGGAGAGAAAAGCAUGAAGAAAAGCCACCUGUAAAACAAAUUCCCAUUUGUUAUUGUUUGGGUUUUUUGGGAGGUUUUUUGUUUGUUUUUGUUUUUGUUUUGAAACAGUCUUGCUCUGUCGCCCAGGCUGCAGUGCAGUGGCGCUAUCUCGGCUCACUGAAACCUCCAUCUCCCAGGUUCAUGCAAUUCUCAUGCCUCAGCCUCCCCAGUAGCUGGGAUUACAGGUGCACGAUACCACGCCUGACUAAUUUUUUGCACUUUUGGUAGAGACAGGGUUUCACCAUGUUGGCCAGGCUGGUGUCAAACUCAUGGACUCAAGUGAUCCACUUGCCUCAGCCUCCCAAAGUGUUGGAAUUACACGUAGGAGCCACCACACCGGCCUUGUUUUGUUUUGUUUUGUUUUGUUUUGUUUUGUUUUGUUUUGUUUUGUUUUGUUUUGUUUUGUUUUGUUUUUAAUUAAGACUGGGACUUGCCCUCUUGCCCAGACUGGUCUUGGCCUCAAGUAACCCUCCUGCCUUGGCCUUCCAAAGUGCCAGGAUUACACACAUGGGCCACUGCACCCAGCCUAUUGUUGAUUAUUAAGAGGAGUAUUUCAGCCACAUAAGUUAGAUCACUGCAGGGCCUUGUAUAAAAUGCAGACUUCUGAAUGCCCUCCCACCAGCCAAAUCAGAAUCUGAGGCCAGGGCCUGGUGCACAGUAAAAUUUGCACCUGAUUUGCCCACAGCCCAAGUUAAACCAGAAGUAACAGUUGGCUGAAUUUGCUUUAUUAUUGCCUGAUUGUCAGACCCAAGCUUUUCAUCCAGUUUAAGUUCAGAAACCGUUGGCAUCUGUUUUAAGCUGUUGUGGGAAAAAGACAAGCAGGCUGUCGUUUUUAUUUCAAAAAACUAUUCUGAGAUUUUAAUGUGAAAAAUGGACAUUUUUUAAUUGAGUGUAGAAGAGAAACCUGGAGAUUUGUAGGCAAUUAACAAUAGAUGCAAUCAACGAACACCCUGCCAAGCCAUUAAGUUCUCUAGUAGCCAUGUUUUAUGACUUUAUGUAACCUAAACUAUGUUUUAACAAAUCUUUACCACGCAAACAUGGGGUUAGAAUUUCCAUUUUAAAAGAGAAAUGACUACCCUUUUGAGUGUGGUUGUAUCUCCCUGGAUCUUUGAGUUAGCCUAAGAAAAUAUCCAGAGUGGCCUGGUGCAAUUUGAAUUGAGACCUGUGAUUCUAGACUAACUUGCAUUAACUCCUAGUUAAUAUAAGUGUUAAAAUAUAAGGAGUUAUUAUUUACUUAUAUAAUUUACUUAUUAUAUAAGUUAUUAUAAGUAAAUUAUAUAGUUAUUAUAAGUAAAUAAUAACUCCUAGUUCAUUCCAAAUCAAAAUAGUGUACUGCACUUGAGUAACACAUUCUGUGUGUGCUUCCUCGCCUUUACUUAAAACUGAUUCCCCUCUUGAAGGACUCAUUUUGCCUCUUAUGUCCUCUCCAGUUCACUAUAGCCCCUACCACUGCCUAUAAUCCUUUUUUUUUGAAACAGAGUUUUGCUCUUGUGGCCCAGGCAAUUGUGCAAUGGCGCAAUCUCGGCUCACUGCAGCCUCCACCUCCUGGGUUCAAGUGAUUCUUGUGCCUCAGCCUCUUGAGUAGCUAGGAUUACAGGCAUGCACCACAACACACAGCUGAUUUAUAUUUUUAGUAGAGAUGAGGUUUCACCAUGUUGGCCAGGCUGGUUGCAAACUCCUGACCUCAGAUGAUCCACUCGCCUCAGCCUCCCAAUGUGCUGGGAUUACAGGCAUGAGCCACCUCACCCAGCCCCUACAGUCUUUUGACUGAUGUUUCUUUACUAACUGAGGUAGUUAAAUGAUGCCUGGAACUGGGCCUCCUGUCUUAUGACCAAGAGAGAAGCUGACCUGAGAGCAAAGCUGGUCCUCAGAGAGCAGAAGGGAAAGAUGGAAAGAACCGAGGCCCAUAAUGAUUUUCCUGUGCUGCUGAGCUAACCCUACAAAAGCCUUACUUCUGGACUUUUAAGAAAGAGAAAAAAGAAAAAAUGGGACAAGGAUGGGAAACAAGAAAAAAAAGGAAAGGAGAAAAGGAAAGGAGAGUAGAGAGGGAGGAAAGAGAAAAGGAGGGAAAAAGGAAAAAGGGGGAAAAAAGCCAGCCACCUUUAAGAAUUUUUAUAUGUGCUGGUAAGGAAUGAUAUAGCUUAAAAAAGUAGAUUUCUGCUUGUGUAGCCCAAUUUAUUAAUUUUUAAAACUAUAAUCAGAUGGUAUUGAUCAGUGGUCUCAAGAGAGAGAAACGCCUAUUUCUUGUGUUAUUUUUAUUAAAGCAGAGAACAAAUGGGACCCUCACAGUCCAUAUACCCCCAAACCAAACCAGGGUUCCCUGACAAAGCAAAGCAGUGUCCUUCCAUCUCCGAGGGUCCUGAGCCGCCUCUGCCCCAAGCCCCACCAGCAGCAGCUCUGCUGGAGAAGGAACAUUGUGUUCCUUUAUUUUGGUAAACCAGACCCAGGGCCCCACUGGUUCUCAAGUCAGCUGUGGGGCUGACACGCUGCCUCUUGGGGUCAGUUUGGUCCCCUCAGCAGACCUUGAGGAAGCAGCCACGUCCUCUGCUGCCUUGGGGCCCUGUCUUCCAUUCGUUAACAGUACCAGCUUCUUCAGAGACUCUGGAAUGUCAUAAACAUUAAAGCCAGAUUGUUUCCCUCUUUGCUUUUGUUUUGAUGUGUUUUAAAAUAAUUAGGCUUUUACUCUCAAGUAUUUUCAUUCUCCAUCACUGACUGAGGGGCAGCUCUCACACCACACCGAGGCUAGCAUGCUACUAUGGUAUCCAGUAAACAGUUGGCAAACAAAGCCAAAAGUUCUGUUUGGCCAAAGCCAAUAUCAAGUUCUCUUUUGUACUUGUUGUUCUUCUAUCUGCCCUGAGCUAUGUAAUAGCUGUCAAAAUAUGUCACCCCUUGCACCUCCGUGCAGGGUUUAAGAAAAGCAGCUCCUUGGACUUUUGCCAGUGACUUCCUUACAACAUCUUAAUUAUCCAUUUUUUGCUUAGCAAGUCAGUCUAGAAAGAACUGCUUCUUGCUUUUACUCUUGGAAAGUGAAUACUUGGGAAUGUUCAGUGAAAACCAGUAUGUGCUGAACUGCUCUAGGUUCUGGGGAAGUGGAGGGGAACUCACAGUUAGCAGGUAGUGUCCCCUGAGGUCCCUGGAAAGAAGCAACACACUGCCCUGUCCAGUGGCAACUGCCUCCCCAUCACCCAGUCUCUGAAUCUAGAGCCCAGACUCAUCUUAAGCAAAGGCAACCGAGCAGCUGUGCUCCUGUUCACCCUACUUCAGCUCCUCACUGCACUCCUACCAAUACCAUUCUAACCUUGCAAUGUAUUUUAUGAAAGUAAGCCAGUUUGAUUCAUCAUAUAGUGAUUGGUUCUAAUGUCUUGGGUUCUAAGCUUUUUUUAUACAUAGUAUCUCCUUUUUUUUUUUUUUUUUUUUGAGGAGUAUCACUCUUGUACCCCAGGAUGGAAUGCAGUGGCUCAAUCUCAGCUCACUGCAACCUCCGCCUCCCAGGUUCAAGUGAUUCUUCUGCCUCAGCUUCUCAAGAAGCUGGAACUACAGGUGCGUGCCACUAUGCCCAGCUAAUUUUUGUAUUUUUAGUAGAGAAGGGGUUUCACCAUGUUGGCCAGGAUGGUCUCCAUCUCUUGACCUCGUGAUCCGCCCGCCUCAGCCUCCCAAAGUGCUGGGAUUACAGGCGUGAGCCACCGCGCCCAGCCUAUACAUAAUAUCUAAUUUAUUCUUUAUAACAACCCUAUACAGAAGAAAUACUUCUUCAUGUAUUACAACCAGAAAAUUUGGAGAGGUUAAAGAAUUUGCCCACAGCCACCCAGUAAGGAGGUAGAGCCAGGAUUCAAACGCUGGUCUCAUUCUCAGCCCUGGUGGACACUGGCUUUCAGAGCUAUAACUUGAAUUUUGGUGCUCAGAACCAGCUGCACAAAAGCUCAGCAAAUGGCUUUGUGAUUUAUUAUGAAACUCAAAGAAAGAACAACCCAGCAGCUUCUUACUUUAAUUUUCCUUGCUAAUGACAGUUUCCAGCUGAAGAAAUCCUUGAGCUGUCAACUUGUAAAUAUAACUUUUUUUUCCAAUGUCUGUUCCUGGGGCAGAGCUUCCCAGUAGGCCUUGCACUGUGCUGCAUCUGGUCCCUGGAGUUUUACAGCCUCGCUACAAACACAUAACAGAGUGGUGAACACAAGCAAUCCUGAGUUGCAUAAAUGCACUGGAUGCCCAUGCUAGACUAGGAAAGUUCUUCCUAUUCAGGAGGAACACUUUGGCCCUGAGAGGCCAGGGGAGGCCGAGGGGAAUAGGAGAGGUUCAUGGGUAGGUAGGAUUUAGGACCACGGGAGAACAAUUGCAAGCAAGAACUGGAAGUAUACAGUUGAGGCUGGGAAGAGCUCACAUUGAGAAGUGGCAACACACACAGGUGGAAAAGUAGGUUGGAGCCAAAUUGCUCUGGACUUUUAAGUGCCAGAAGAAGUUGGAGGAUGGAAGCUGGGAGACCAGGCAGGAAAUAGUUAUGCUCCAGGGGAGAGAGAGAGCAGGGGUCUGUCCCAAAGUGGGAGCACAGGUAAGAAAAGAGUGAGAUAUUUCGAAGGAAGAAGGCUCCUCUGUCUCCUGUGCCCAGGAGCCCUGCCCUCUGCGAGGCAGUGGGACUGGUAAUGCUGAUUAACUGAUCUGCCAGUGGAUGCAUUGGGCCUCACUGAAGACACGGCACCCUUGGAGAGGAGUGGGACUCUGGCCCCCAUCCCUCCAUGUUCAACUGCCCACAUCACUCAACUCUUCCUGUCCACCCUCAUCUGCAAAAACAGCAUGAGAAAGCUCCUGCUUCCUAAGUUUAUUGUGACGUUGAGUAAGGAAGAUGCAAAGCACAAGGCCUAGCACUUCUAAGGACUCAGCAGAUGGGAACCGCCAGCAUGAAUAUUCUGCACCAUUGGUCACCUGGGACCUGCUAUUCAGAGUGGCUAUUCUCCUCUUUCUCUGUCAAACGUUAGACACUGGCAGACAACUGAAGGUGAAAUCAAGCAAGUUUGAAGUGUGGUCUCUCUCUGGGGCUCCUUAUCAGGUAAGCUGGACAUAAGCAAACUUCCUAACAAAAGAGCCAUAAGUUGUUUGAUUCUGAAGGCAAAGCAUGAUUUCAGAGUUUCUUAUUCUACAAAUUGUACAGACAGACUUUUCUUCCUUCUUUGUGUUUACACUAUGAUAUCUUGGAGCCAAGCUAUAGCAGAGCCCCUGAAUGGGAAUUUAGGAUGGAUGCUUUUGGACCCCUUCCAUAGAGGUCAAGUCCUGGGAAUACUGGAAGGGCCUUCACACGAGAGCUCUAUCCCAUUCCCUUAUGUCCUGGACUUAGAAAGAGAGGAGGAACUAACAUUUAACUAGCUCAAUACAUGCCGGAUGUGUGCUGUGGAUUUGACACAUCAUGUUAUGUAACCCUCACACCAGCCCCAUGAGAUAGAGGUUGCUAUCCGCAUUGUUAUAAAUGAGGAAAUAGCCUUGGUUGAAGGGUCUUGCCCAAACUCACACAUCUGGCCAUCAUUGCAACCAAAAUUCUGCCUCUUGUGCCUCUGGCUGAAGCCCCUUAUUUCCUGCACACACUCCUUCUCCCAGGGCUCCUGAGGCCACGUGGUAAGCCUGCUGCUGCUGUUACUGUGAGUUUCCUUUUUCAAUGUUUUUGUUUGUUUGUUUGUUUUAAGAGGCGAGGCCUCGAUGUGUUGCCCUGGCUGGCUAGAGUUCCAUGGCUGUUCACAGGCACGGUUGUAGCUUACUGCAGACUCAAACUCCUAGGCUCAGGCAAUCCUCUCGUCUCAGCCUCUCGAGUGGCAGGGACUACAGGUGUGCACCGCCAUGCCUAGCCUGUUACCUUGACUUUCCAGUUCAGCAAAUUUUUUGUUAUAGGGCAAUUGAGAGGUUUGUAGUUCCAUCAUGGUGACUGGCAAAAAUGAUUACCUGUAACUAUAUAACUGGAAAUAAAUUUAAACACGUGCAAACUCUAAUUAGCCCCAAAUAACAUCUUAAUAGCAAGUAGAGGACAGAAUAAAUGGAAGUAAAGCCAUAGGACAGAGUACGGAAAGGCAUGAUAACAGGAGUUUCUUGUCUCUAAGGAAGUAGGAUGGGAUGGAGAGUCAAUUUAAUGCAGACAGAAACUGAAGAUCAAACAACAGAACAUUUUAGCUUCCAUUUUAACUGUAUUUUACAGUUGGAUUUCAAAGAAGAUAAAUAAAUUAUAUUUGCACCUAUCAUCUUUUCAAAUAUCUUUUGCCGGCAAAGUCAUUCAGUAGAUUGAGUGUCCCUGUGGUCAAGACCUUACCCAUGUGAUGUGUGGAAGAGGAGAGACGAUACCCUGCAGCAGAAGGUCUCAUGAUCCGAGAGAGGAGAAAUGGGAGGAAGGAGCUGUAGAAGAAAGACAAAAUACAAACACAGUGACGUGGCCGAGAGUGGGAGCCCUGACAGCUGUGGGUGUGGGGUUGCCACGCAAUGAUGUUCCAUGGCUGGCUGCCUGAUCAAGCAGAGCCUCAAAGGGCAUCUGUGGCUUGGAACAGGCCUGGGUCCAGAUCUGGCCCUUAACUCUCAAGUUUCAGAUACUCCAUGUUGUAAUCAGCUCAUACCACGUUGAGCAGGCCUCAAGGAAUGGACUCUGGCCAACCAAACUCCCAUAGUAGACGGAUGGGAAAACCAGCAUGCGAGUUGAAGUAAUGUACCACCAGAGACACACCUUUCUAAUUACUAUUCAGAAAAACUGAAUUAGCAUUUAGAAAAUUGCUUGUUAAGCAGGAAUCAGGGUAAAAGUCUUCAGGGGAAUGUGGCUCAGAUUGUGGUAGAGUCUGGACUGUCUUUACCGUUCCCUGACACCCCCGGGGAGACACUAGCUAGAUUCUUACUCUUCAUCUCUCUUCUUCUGGGCUCCUUACAGACUCAUGCCUGUCCACUUUAAUUCUCAUCAAAUAACAUGACUUACUAUAAGUACCUUGUCAUUACUUUUGUAAUUUAAUCUUCCUCUAAUCUUAAUGUAGCAAACCAUGAUAUCCUCAGCCAUGCAUUUGCAAAAUCACCCCAAGGGUGGGUUGCAUCUGCAAGUGUUGAAUCGCAAUUAUAUUGUGUAGAUUCUUAUGGCUUCGCCUUCAAAUCCUGACACCCUUUGACCUUGUCCCCAAAUUCCAGAGAUGCUAUUAUCUGUAUAGACAACAAAUAUGGAUUCCAGAAGUGCAGGAAGAUUCUGGAAGAUAAGAGGAACUGAAUUCGUAUCGGUCUGAAACAGGUUGCACAGAAAAGCUAGUCUCACACCACUCCUCUUUCGUGUCUGAUGUGGCAUAAGUGUAUGGACAGCUCAUCCCUAGAGCUCAUGGUAACAGAGUUCCUUCUAGCCUGCUUCUGUUGUAGUUAGACUGGGUGGUUUAAACAACAAACAUUUAUUUCUCACAGUCCUGGAGGCUAAAAAAAUCCAACAUCAAGAUACCAGCAGAUUCUGUUUUCGUGAGAGCUCUCUUCUUGGCUUGCAAACAGCCACCUUCCGACUGUGUCCUCAUGUGGUGGGGAGAGUGAGCUCUGGUCGCUUCCUCUUAAGACAAUAACCCAGUAAUGGAGGCCCCACCUUCAUGCUCUCAUUUAAAUUUGCCAGAGGCCCCGCCUCCUAAUACCAUCAGACUGGGGGAUUAAGGGCUUCAGUAUAUGAAUGGCAGGGGCCCAUUCAGUCCAUAGCAAAUGCCCCCACCACGUUCUGCUCUACCAGAUAUUUUCUAUUUAGUGGGGAAAAUAUAGAUAGUUUUCAGUACACAUACAACUGUUUUGGUUUUGGGGGCCCAAACGAAUGGUGAGACAGAAAAUUUGGUUUCUAACCAGCUUAUUAAAUGAGUUUCAAGUACAGGGUAAAGAAAAUUAAUGUAACUAAAUCUUGGGAUAUGAUUUUACUGAGGACUGUCCAGGGUCUUUUGAGGCCGCAAUUAGAGACGAGUCCAGACCUUUCCAUUUCUCAUCUGCUCUGCUGGACUCCAGAGCGCUGCCUUUCUCCAAAAAGGAAAAUUAAAAACACAAAUUCUCAAGUGGGUUGAUAGUAAUUCAGCCCAGCAAAUUUUACUUUCCAUUAAAAGUCACCAGCUGUCAUGUGCUUCGCUUUAAAUGGAAAUAACUUGCUCUCAAAUAACAUUUUUCAGUUGAUGUCACUUGUGAGUUUUAUUUUCUCCUAAUGAAAAAUGGAUUUGCAUUAGUGCAACUUUGGUGACAGGAAAUCCCUGGAUGGAGGCCUGAGCUGGUGACGUGCCCCUGCCCUGGGGAAAGCUAAUUACCAGCCAGCAUGGAAGACUGACGCUGUGGUCAGGAGGGGCUUUGGGGGAACCAGAAGGGAGGAGUGGUGAUAAUGGUCUGUCUUCUUUGCAGUGAGAGUCCCUGUGGUUGCUGCUUCCCUUAAAAAAAAAAAAAAGAAAGAAAGAAACAUUAAAAAUGCUUUUAAGUGUUAAGAUUUGGAGAGGCAGUGAAUAUUUUAACAUGCUGAAUGUUUUUAAGGGAGGCAGCCUUCCUGAGCCUCUAAUACUCCUGUGCUCAGAGCCUGUCACCUCUGAGGCCUCAUCCCUACAGAGCUCUGGGCGGAAGAAGCCUCUCUGUGGCCCUCGGCUGUGUUCUGGUACCUCCCAGAAUAUCUUUUUGGUGGCAAUUGGAAUGAUCUCUUCAUGACCCUCAAGAACAAAACAAAGAGAAUCUCUAGCCUGAAGCUCCUUGAAGGCUGAACUAGUCCCUUAUGGAGUUGUGACUCUAUGGCACCUCUCUGGAGAGCCAGGACACUCAGGAGGCUCCUGCAGUGGGCCUUGCACACAGAGGAGGCAGGAGGGCAAUAUCUAGAACCCUUCGCUUUCCCUCCUGGGAGCCCCUUGACAGAGCAGACAGAGCAGACUCUUCAAGAGUCGUUCCAGCAGGGUCCUGACCCACUGAAAAGAAUGAACAGAGAGACCAGAGACACAGGGAGCUAGUGAAACCAGGAAACAGAAGGGAGACGCCAACAGCCACGGCAUUCGCAGGCACCAGACUGAAAGCUGGCAGUGUAGUUAAAACCAUGUCCUUAAGUGUGCUCUCUUGCCUCUCUGGUCCCCUACAUACGUGCACACACAUGCACAUGCACACACGGGCAUCACACACCCCCCUCUGGGGCAGCAUCCAUGAAUAUAGCAGCACUCAGACCUGGGGCUAUACCCAAGGGCCAUCCCAGCCUAGGCAAAGCUUCCCUCCACCCCGUCUCCGUGCUCACAGCAAGGGCUUAGAAGUGUCCAAGAAUUUUUGAAUAAUGUUCUUGACAGACACCAAAGCUUUUUCCUCCUCCAGAGUGUGGAGAGCUGGGGCUGCCCCCAGGGAAGGCUCCCCUGGCAGCUCCUGUCUGAGCAGCUGGGGCCAGCUCCAGGAACACUAAAUUCUGGCUGCAUUUCCAGCCAAGGCCUGGUUACUUUAGAAUCCCUCUCCUCCCCGCUUGUCUUUUCAAGCAGGAGCCAGCCAAGGUAUUCGUCAUGUUUCCGAGCUGCCCUGCUGCUUGAUUUAUACGCACAGAGGACUGGGAAGAAGAUGCCAGUGGGGGGGUGAAGGCUAGCCUUCCUGGCACCCCAGGGGCCACUGAAAGGGUCCCUGGUUUUUGGAUCAACUCUGUUCAGCUCAAGGUCGGGAUCAUGCGGACCCCACAGCCUCGGGAGCAGAGGAAUUGAGAUAGGGCGCACUCCAGCUCUCUUGCUCCUGCUGUCUUUUUUGUGUCUCACACUGUGAGAUCUUGGCCAUAAAAGGAAUGAAGCUUUGCUUGCCCUCUCACUGGGCUUCUCCUAAAAGGGCUUUCCGAAAAAUUUCCAGCCUUCUCCUCUGGGACACUGGAUGUGGUCUCUUUGGCCAAAGAGAAAACAAGUAACAGAUGAAGCCCUUGCAGAUGAGGAGGCCAAAACUGAAAUGUUAAUCACCUCAAAAUAUGCGUGCUGCUCUCUCCAGUGCCUCGCUUGGCUCUCCUCAGAGGAUCUUUGAUUGGGGAUUUUCCCCCUGGGGGUGGGGGAUUUGCUGUUAACAUUUGGAGCAUGUUUGAGGCUCCAACUUGCAGUGACAAGACAAUUGUUAUUCAGUGUCUAACAUGCCUGUUGUGGGGACUCUGAAUGGCUGAAAUAUUGACUGCAGCUCUUGGUUGAACUAAUACUCCUACAACACUCCCAUAAAAGCUCAAGAUGCUGUCAUCCAAGAUGAAUAAAAAUGCCUCUUUUUAUUCCGCUGCAUAUGAAAACAUGAGAUCAUUGGAAUAUAUUUAGAGUUAGAUUUGGCCGCCUAUACAUGUUUACAAUUCUUGGACUCAAAGCUCUAAUGUGAAUCGGAGGCACUCUUUUUCCUCCUCGCGUUCUUUUCUUUCUCUAAGAAGGUGAAUGCUGAUUCCAAGAGUUUAUAAUUCCUUUUCUUGGUAUUACCCAAAGUUCACCUGGAGAGCCUGAGCCUUGACACGUUAAUGCAAUGAUUCAACCACUGACGGGCUCCUCACCAUCCAUCACUCAAGGCAAAGCCUCCACUGGGCUUGAACAGACUAUCCAGAAGUACUGCCUUUUCCUCAGGUCUUUGAAUCAGGACCGGGUCUGAUUCUACCAGAUAGAAGUCUACAAUGCCUUAGGGUCAAUGACUCUUGCUAUCACAUAGAUGUUGGUUCCUUUCUGAAGGAAAGCACAGACUCCCUUCUCCAGAAGGAAGGCAGCAACAGCAGGGAAUCAACACAGAGACUGCCUGUGCACCUCAUCUCUAGGGGGCUGAUCCUCCAUCCUGACUGCAUGUACAAUCAAGAGGACAGCUUUAAAAACACUGAUCUUCUGGGAUUUGUGGUCCCAGAGAAGGGACUGGUGGAGAAAGAUUAAGAGUUGUCUUUGCAUGCUUCUGAGGACUGUCUGGAUGCCCUGAAGUAGGCUAACCCCAUUUCCUAGGAAACCAGGCAUCCAGGGCGGGCAGAAUGGCUUCCUUUGGGUGGAAGAGGAAAAUUGGCAAGAAGGUCUCAAAGGUCACUUCCCAGCAGUUUGAAGCUGAAGCUGCUGCUGAGAAGGAUGCAGUUGACAAUGACAAAGGGAACUGGCUUCAUGCCAUUAAACAUAGGAAAGCAAUUCUUUUUUUUUUUUUUUUUUUUGAGAUGGAGAUCCACUAUGUUGUCAGGCUGGAAUGCAGUGGCCCAAUCUUGGCUCACUGAAACCUCCACCUCCUGUGUUCAAGCAAUUCUCCUGCCUCAGCCUCCCGAGUAGCUAGGACUACAGGCGCCCACCACCGUGCCCAGCUAAUGUUUGUAUUUUUAGUAGAGACAGGGUUUCACCAUGUUGGCCAGUAUAGUCUCUAUCUCUUGACCCCGUGAUCUGCUUGCCCUGGCCUCCCGAAGUGCCAGGCUUACAGGUGUGAGCCACUGUGCCGGCAAUAAAUUCUUGAAUGCCGUGCUGAGAAGAGUAAACAGCUGAAGGAUGAAGGAGCCAGUUUGGCUGAAAAUAAAAGAUACCAGUAGGCAGUUCAGAAGUGGGAUGAAGUACUACAGUUAACUCCAAAUCAUGCUACCCUAUAUGAGAUGAAAUCACAGGUGCUAAUGUCUCUGCAUGAAAUGUUCCCAGCAGUACCUGCAGCAGAAAUCAGCGUGCAGCAAAAUCCACAUUCGUGGGAGUCUUGGCAAACUUUGGGACAUGCUCAACUUGGAUUAGGAAAGAUAAUCCUGGCAAUUCAAGUAGCCCUUCACAUCUAUCCAGUGAACCCUGAAAUAUGGAAAGAAGACCUCUCUUGGGCAAGAACACUCCAGGAGCAGCAGAAGGUAGCCCAGAUGAUUUUAAAAAAAGUGAAGUACCAGCUGACGUAACACACUUUUCACCCAAGUCAAUUCCAGACUAUGACUCCAAAAGUGAUGAGAUUUAUUGCUGUUUGUGCGGCUAUUGCUGAGAAACAGAAGACAGUUUCAGCAAAUAAAACAAUGGUUACUGUGUCCACUUCUGGGGCCCUAGAGACUGUAACUGAAGAGGAAGAUGGUGCUACACCACCAGAUGGCUCUGUUUUUGUCAGAGCCCCAUGAAGCAGCAUGCGUAAGAUUAUCUGAAUCUGUCUUUUUGAUGGCCACUUGAAGUUUUGACACAGAGACAUUUACUCUGGAGAUAGAUAGCAGAACUCCUGGUUGUAAAGUAAUUUUUUCAGAUGAGGCACAUAAAAAGUAAAAUGGCAGGAUUAUUGUAUAGUGUUUCGAAUAUGCUUUAGUAAGUUAUGACAUAUUUCUCAAGGUUAAAAUUCUGAGUAAAAUUGUUUUUGAUUAAUAAACAAUUUAACCUAAAUAUGUAAAUGAUACAUUUUAAAGACAAAACUUGAAAAGAAUAGUGAAUAACUUGGCCACUGUUACUGAAAUGCUGUCUCAACUUUUGUUUUAUGAUAAGGGUGUGAUUUCCCUCCCUCUGAGAAAUAUACUGUUCUUACUAUUUACUCUCUUUUUCUUGCUUUAUGAGAGUAAGUCUGUCAGAAAGCUUGAAUAUUUUUGACAUUCAUUUUGAUUCAAAGUUGCCAUUUGGUUAUAUGUGGAAUCUUUGAAAAUCUGGCUAGAAAUGCAUGCAGAUGUGUACAUUCUGAAUGUUUGCUGAAGUUUAUCUUAAUUCUGAUUUGUGCUUCUGUUUUGCCUUUGAAGUUAUAACAAUGAUAGAUAGUUGUCUCCUUCAGAAUUUGUUAGAAGUGUGAAGUUUUGAUAAAUAUGAGAAUGAUGGUUUUAUUUUUUAAUUGUUACAGUAAGUAAUCCUUACCACAAAUGAGUCAUUUUUAAAAUAUGCAUUUUUAAAUGAAUGGCUUUUACAGAUAGGUUAAUGAAAAUUGUACUGCUUUAUUAUCCCAGUUAAAAUCAAUACUUUCUUUCUUUUCUUUAUUUUACAAAACUUUAAAAACCCUGGCAACAACUUCUUGUGUCUUUCCAUCUGAUGACUGGGAAUUACUUUUCUCAAUAACUUUUUUUGAAACUACUCAGUGAAAUGAAAAACAAUUUCAAUUUUAAAUAGCUAAUUAUAUCUUUCUAAAAAUAAAAAAAUAGGGCUAUAGAAUAGAGUGCCAGUGAGUAAAUAUCUUAGGCACAAAAUACAUAGAUACUGUCACUGCUAAUCUGAACUAUUGUUUUUAUACUCUAUGUUAUACCACAGUAAUAUAGGCCUGUUGGGUUCUGUUGCUUGUGAUACUCAGGAAGAUAUUAUUUGUGUAAAAUUAAUUUUGUCUUUGUUAGAGACGAAAGUAGCCAACUUUAUGUUAAAGAUCUUACUGUUGGAGCAUGUAAGUAAUGGUCUACAUUUUUAUGAAGAUGGUUUUUAAAACUUCUGUUUUAUUGGAAUACAUAUCUCUUUUCAGAGUUGGAGAAAUUAGCACUUGCCUUGAAAAGAAUAUUCUUUCCCUAAAUUAUAGUGUCAGAAAAUUAGCCCUGGUUAGAGAGGUUCGUUUCAGAGUGCUCCAGAAAAUAUAUUAGUUAUUUUGUUUUGUUUCAUAAAGAACAUAAAUAAGUAUCUAGAGAGGUGAGUUCUCAACACUUGGCAUCUUGUUUUGAGUAAUGGAGGUUUGUUUAUUGUGUGAUUUGUGAAUAGUCUUUUCUGGAAAACAAAUCAAAAAGCCCUGAUGCUGGUCCCCACCUCCAGCGAUUCUAACUGUAUUGAUCUAGGUUACACCUGAGCACCCAAAGCUUUCCAAGGUAUUAUACUCUAUCCUAAUUAUGUGUUUUGUCCUUUGUUCAUUUGUUUUUUGAGACAGAGUUUUACUCUUGUCACCCAGGCUGGAGUGCAAUGGCACAAUCUCGACUCACUGCAACCUCCGCCUCCUGGGUGCAAGCAAUUCUCCUGCCUCAGCCUCCUUAGUAGCUGGGAUUACAGGCAUGCACCACCGUGCCCAGCUAAUUUUUGUAUUUUUAGUAAAGACAGGGUUUCACCAUUUUGGCCAGGCUGGUCUCAAACUCCUGACGUGAGGUUGUCCACCUGCCUCAGCUUCCCAAAGCACUGGGAUUACAGGUGUGAGGCACCACAUCCCAGCUCCUGGUUAUGCUUUUUAAAAUUACAUGUGAGGAGAAAAAAGAUUUGGAAUUAAUUGACUAUCUCCAAGUAACAGAAUUAAGAAUUUUUAUUCACUUGAGUAUUUUUCUGGGUGUCGUGAAAAAUUUUUUGCAGCAAAGGAUAUUGCAAUGAAACAAAUUAAUAGUAUAGAGGAAGGGAAAUGCCAUUUUCCACUUAAAAGGAAGGAAGUUCAGGAUACUCAAAAUAGAACUCUUCAUCUCUCUCCCUAACCUGACUCUCCUCCUGCAUCCCCAGUUCUGAAAAUAGCACCAGGUUCUCACCAGCCCACAUCCCACAGGCACUUCAGCUUCCUACCUUCCCUAAACCCAUCCAUCCAACUACUUCCUAGUCUCCACAGCAGCUUCCUUCAUACUUAAAUUUCCUGACUCCUGUUCAGACAAGUGCCACUCCCACUGCCUCUCAGUUUGGGCUUCCACUUCCGACGGGGCUGGGCUGGCUCCUCAGCAGGCUCUCCACCUCCAUGUGGGCACUGAAGCUGCGGUGAUCUUCCCUCAACCCCACACUGACUCCUGUCACGCGCCUGUUAAAAACCUGUGGUCAGGCUGGGCGCAAUGGCUCAUGCUUAUAAUCCUAGCAUUUUGGGAGGCCAAGGUGGGCACAUUGCCUGAGCCCAGGAGUUCAAGACCAGCCUGGGUAACAAGGUAAAACUCCGUUUUUACUAAAAAUACAAAAAUAAAUUGGCCGGGUGUGGUGCAUGCCUAAUCUCAGCUACUCAGGAGACUGAGGUAUGAGAAUUGCUUGAACCCAGGUGGAAGUUGCAGUGAGCCGAGACUGUGCCACUUCAUUCCAGCCUGGGUGACAGAGCAAGACUGCCUCCAAAAUAAAGAAAUACAAAUCAAAACUUGCAGUGGCCUCCUCGUUUCCAGAGCAAACUGGAGCAGCUUGCAAGGCUUCCAAGGCCCUGCAUGAUCCGACCCUGCCCACCUUCACAGGUUCUGGCUUUGCAGCCCUCACCCUGCACCCUUCCACCUGCCACAAGUAACAGCUGGAGGUCCCCACACGCAUCCUUUUCUCCCUGACUCAGAGUCGUUACCUGUGCUGCUCCCCUGUUUGGAAUGCCUUCUCCAUCAUGUUGCCCCCCGUCACACCUGCCACCUUACACACUCCUCAACACGUAGUCUCUGGCCUGCUCCUGCAUGCUUUCACACCUGUGUCUUUGCUUAGCAUUGAUUGUUCUUGUCUUUAUGUCUGUCUCCCCACUGCUGUUUGACUUCUUUGAGGGUCAGGAGCGUUCUUCUCUGUCUGGGCACUACCCACACUGCCCAGCAUCUCCUAGGCAUUCAGUAAAUGAGUUAAGGAGUGAGUGGAUAAUAUUGAUUCUUUACAUUCCUGCAGCUCUUUAUGAUUUUCCUAAGUACUUUCUUAUGUGUGUUUGCAGUUGGGUUUUGUGCCCCUGAAAUUGCUUUCAACAGUAUUGCCUUCACCAUCUGCAUUCUCACUUGAGGCUGGCAGACAGGAGAGGUGGUGAAAGUGAGGUGCAGCAUGACCAGGAGAGGCCCUGCUGCCCAGGUCGCGCAGCUGGUGCUGGAAGACCCAGCAGCCCUCCGUCUCUGCCUGUGUUCUCCCCCACAACCCGUGUCUCCCACACACUGGCUCCACUGCACUGGAUCUGGAGUCUGCACUGGAUAGUUGCCCACAAAGAGACAGAGAUUGCCAGCCACUUCAAAUCCUGGCUUCCCCGUUUUCCCGUCAUGCUUUUAAGCCAGGAGAUAACAAGAGGAAGCCACAGCUCUGGUGGUUUGAGAUGAGAUACUCAAGAGCAUGCGGUCUUCCACCAUCAACAUUUUCUAGAGACGAAGCCGACUCAGUUUGAGUGGAUUUCGCCUCUCUGGAGGAAAUACAGAUUCACUAAUCCCUUCCACUGUAAUCAAGCCUGGGAGGGAAGGGCUGCCAGGGGAUCCGUUCCAGAAUGUAGUCGGUGGGGAAAAUGCAGAGCCCCUGCCAUCUGAGUCGCUGCCAGCACACCACUUCCUGAGAUCGUACAUGAGGCCGUGACCGAAACUGUGGCUGUGGCCCUGCUAAUCAGCCAGAUUCAGGAGAUGUUUCUCUGGGGUAGAAUGACAUUAAGAAGGCCCUGUCCCUGGGACAUCUAAAGUCAUCCUCACCUGAGCCUCUCAUUCAGUCUCACUCAGGGCUCCUCAGCUCCUCUCCACCCAAGCAGGGCCAGAGGUGCCCCUUACCAAGCCCUUUCUGGGAGGGAACAGGGGUGAUGAUGGGAGGAACUGGGAGGACUAUACCCCAUUCCCCGUUUUCUACUCAGAUUAUCCCACAAGCUGGAGUGUGAAGCCCUGGGAUAGAUAUACUGCCACCACAAGAGCAGAAAGUCACAUGGCUGAGCUCAGUCAACUCUUAGCCACUACCAUGUGUCAGAUAUUAUGUUAAGAGCUGAUAGGGAUAAAUUAGACAUGGCUGGCCAGGCGCCGUGGCUCACGCCUGUAAUCCUAGCAGUUUGGGAGGCCAAGGUGAGCAGAUCUCCUGAGGUCAGGAGUUCAAGACCAGCCUGGCUAACACGGUGAAACCCUAUCUCUACUGAAAAUACAAAAAAUUAGCCGGGCAAGAUGGUGGGUGCCUGUAAUCCCAGCUUGAGGGACUGGGGAGAUAGGGUGGUGAAGAUAGCAAAGGCUUCUCAAGCUUCAGUAUCUGUGAUUAGGUUGAGUUGCAUGAAAUUGCUGAUAGUCUAUUGGUAAUGACCUACAAUAACCUGGACUUCAGAUGGUUCAAUGUCAUACUUCCUGGGAAGUGGGAAAACACACCUUGCAGAGAAAAACCCAGGCCAAAGAAGUUCAGUGUCUGUCAGCAACUGGUAAACUUAUAUUAAGUUUACCUCUUAAUAAUGUAUUGAUGGAGAUUGUCUAGGGAUGACAUUUUCUACUUUCUUAAAAGAGGACUAGGCUGGGUGUGGUGGCUCACGCCUGUAAUCCCAGUACUUUGGGAGGCCAAGGCAAGAGGAUCAGGCGAGGUCAGGAGUUUGAGACCAGCCUGGUCAACAUGACGAAACGUCAUCUCUACUAAAAAUGCAAAAAUUAGCUGGGCGUGGCGGCAGGCACCUGUAAUCCCAGCUAGUCAGAAGGCCAAGACACGAGAAUCGCUUGAACCUGAGAGGCAGAGGUUGCAGUGAGCCGAGAUCGUGCCACUGCACUCCAGCCUGAGUGACAAAGUGAGACUCUAUCUAAAAAAAAAAAAAGAAGCCGAGUCUGGUGUUAGAAGUUUGUCUAUUACCCAAAGACCAGUUAUAUUAGUCUGUUCUCAUGCUGCUAAUAAAGGCAUACCCCAAACUGGGUAAUUUAUAAAGGAACAACUCACAUUUCUACAUGGCUCAGGGGGCCUCACAAUCAUGGUGGAAGGCAAAGGGGUAGCAAGACACGUCUUAUAUGGCAGCAGGCAAGAGAGCUUAUGUAGGGGAGCUCCCCUUUAUAAAACCAUCAGGUUUCCUGAGAGUUAUUCACUGUCAUGAGACUAGCACAUGAAAAACCCGCCCUCGUAAUUCAGUUACCUCCCACCGGGGCCCUCCCAUGACAUGUAGGGAUUACUACAGCUCAAGGUAAGAUGUAGGUAGAGCCAAACCAUAUCACCAGUCCAGGGUAGACUUUGCACUUCACAACUGGACUGAAUUUACAAGUCACAGGAAGGCAGUAUUGUACCCCGAGUCUGAAAUAUUUGAGUCUCCGUUCCAACACCACUGCAGAUGAGCUGUGUGAUCAGCUUCAUAACUUCUGAGGCUGGCUUUUCUCACCUGGAAGAUGAUGGCAAAAAUAAUACUUCCUUUCUUCACAAGGUGGUUGAAAUGCUGAAAUGAGAUAGUGCCUAUACAUUGCUUAGCGCAAUGCUGGCCUUUAGGAAGCACCCGGUAGCUGUUUGCAGGGUCAUCAUUUAUGUCAAGAGCCCAGUAAACACUGAGGGAUGACCCCAUGCCCACAAGUCAUAAAGGGAGUUGCAUCUUUUCGUCUUAAGGCCAUAGCGUGUUUUGAUGGAGGCAGCAGGACCGUGGCCUAGUUUAGCCUGGGUUUUAGUCAUAAAUAGAGGAGGUAGAAAGAAGACAUAAGAAAACAUGUGAUGCUUGAGUUUCUCGGGUCAGAAGGACAAGAAGCUCCACAUGAUCCCAUUCAGCCGUUUAGUUGCUUUCAGCCUCAGAGCAAACCUGCUGAGGAAUUUCAUAUCCCCAGUCUCUCCUGGCAGGCAUGCCUGGCUGUGAGGUAGAUUUUUUGAGCACAAGCGUUUCUGCAGGCUACCAAGUCAACCUCCCUGGAGUGGUUCCCAGGAAAGCAGUGGUGAUAGCAGCAGCUGCAGGCUUGCUUGGGCACCAGAGGCUCUGGGCAAAACAGGAGCCCAGCUUUCCUGGAAGAGAAACCCUAGUCACUCAGAGGAGGAUCUGAAACCAGAGAGAAUCCGCAGCCUGGAUGUCUCAGGAGAGAAGCUGGGUGUGCCUGUGCAUGUACGUGCCUUAUGAUGCUGUCCCUGGGAUGUGAGUUCUUUGCUCAGAUGGCAUUGGCAGAGGUGCCACGUGAUGGGUUUGGGAACAAGGAAGAAAGGCAAAGAGGAGAUUGGACAAAGACACGUAGAAACACAAUACAUUGUAGGAGUGGUAAAAGGAGCAUCACAAGAAUCUUGACAAACUGCUCAGACCUCCUUAACUGGGGCUCGUGCCAGCUUCUCAAGAAUGGGAACAAGGCCUUCUUCAUCUCUGCAUGGUCUGGUAGCUCAGUGCCUGGCACUUGGUGGACAUUCAUUAAAUGAAUGAAUGUAUGAAUCAAUGAAUGAAUGAACACAUGAACAAUUCUCCUGUCAUGCAUUAUCUGCUGAAGAUGCCGGCUAUAAGUUCACAGGACUGUUCCUCUCUUCUCCCGCCCAUAUUUUGCUCACCUCAAUACCAGCCCACACUGUCUUCCUGGACUUCCUGUGAUUCUUUCAGUGAUCACAUAGUCAUUGCUGCAUAAUUUAAGUGUCCCUGUUCCUUGCAGCUGCUUCCUGUAUGCUAGUCAUGUAAAGGCCCUUCUUAAGUGAUUGCAUCCCUCACAAUACUUAGCAUAUAUUGACUGUUGAUUGGUUGGAAAAUAACCCAUUAUAGGGGGAGGGGGCAGAAACUGACAUCAUGGAGUGUCAGGCACGGUGCUGGUGCUGUGCAUACACUCAAGAAGGGCCUGGGUAAUGCAGCAUGGUGAAGGGAAAAUGGCGGACAGAGCAAUUUCGUCAUCUGAAGGCCUUUCACAGAGAGGCCCUGAACCCAUGGCUCUCCUUCUCUGAGGAUAGAAAAGGAGGAAGUGUGUCUGUCCUGCAGGAUGUGGGAUGGAUAGAUGGAUGCGAAAUUAAGCACUGAAGUCGGUUGCUUGGAUAGGCAAUGACUGCCCCCUGCCCCCACUUGAAAAUCCUUGAAGGCAGAAGGGAUCAUCCACCCAGGAAGCUGAGGCUGCAGGAUAAGCUGGCCUUUUCCUGAACAGUGACAGUUGGAGCGUUCACCCUCACUGUCCUUGUCAGAGUUACAGACAAGAAAGAAGAAUCCUUUUGGGUAAAGUGUCUUAAAGGAACCGUUGAUUUACCCUUUUGCUUUAUGAUCUCCUGAUGUAGUGAGCAAGGUUCAGAAAGAUUAGCUAACUGCAAGCAGACCGACCUUUCUGUGCAGAAAAUAAGGUAGAUUCUCAUUAUCAUCCUGCUCAUUUCCCCAGGAAUUAUGUAUUCCCCGGCCAGAAAACGACCUCCAAACCUUUUCAACUACAUGCAGCAAAAGGCUGAUACAAUGCCUUCUGCAUUUGACUGUACGCCCCUUGCAGUGAUUAAUGCUGCCUCCCUAACUACAGUGUCGGGAACGACUGUCAAGCCCAAUUAUUUCUCUAGGAUCUCCUGAUAGUAAAUGCUCAGUAAAUACAUAGAUGAACAAUAGCCAAUCCUAUACAAUAAUCUUAGAGUACUUUCCCCACACAUUUCCUAACUGAAUCCUCACAACAACCCUGUGAACUAGUUACUGUGAUUAACUCCCAUUUUCCAGUUUAAGGAAACUGACGCUCAGCGAAGUUAACUGGUACAUCCUGUAUCAUACAGCAAAUAAGGAAGAAUUCUGCCCAGUACACCUUACUGAUUAAAUAAACUAUUUAGCCUGAAGAAAAAGUGUCAACUCAGUCUUUCUCCAUCACGCAUCUUAUCCCACGGAGCAACCUGCAUUAUAUUUCAGGUUCAGGCAAACUAAGUCCGCGCUUUAGUAUAUGGUGAAUAAAUGGAUGGACACAGUGGCGGCUUUGUAUAAAGUCAGUGGAAAGCAAACAAAAGGGAGACUCUUUCAUUCACACCAUUUAUCCGCGCCCAUUGGGUGCACUGCGGUCAGGCGACUGACCUGCCCUCAUGGGGCUUACAGUCCUUAAAAGACAGAUGUAAAACGACUAAUCUUGCAAUCAAUGAAUAAUAAUUUUGUGACAUGCUCCUGAAAGCAUGUAGCAGGAUGCUCUGCUCUGGUCCGAAGAAAGAGCCAUUUGCACUCAGUGUGGGAAGGCUAGCCUUUUUCCUGGGCAAAAGAGGCGGGGGAAUACAUUUAGAUAGGCAGAACCUCCGAGCAGAAGUCAAGACAAAUUAAAAAGGCAAAAGGAGGAGGGAAUAUGCUUCUCACAAACAGAACUUGACCCAAGGGACCUCAACUCUCCAGUCCUGCUGCCUACCAACCUAAGAAAAGCAGGGAGGAAAACGCGAAGACGGGGUGGGAGAUGGAGCAAAAAGAACAAGAAAAAAGAAAGAGCGAAAGAAGUGAGAAGUGAGAGGCCAG